UCUCUGGAAGCCCAGUGGUUAAAGGCUCUGGGCUUCCAAUGCAGAGGACUCAGGUUUGAUCUCUGAUCAGGGAA
rnacentral:tRNA from 1 species